GGUUGUAUUUAUUAGAUUAAACACCAACCGCUCUCUGAGCGUCUCAGGUGAAUCAUGAUAACUCAUCGAAUCGCAGCGGCCGUGUGCCGGCGAUACUUCAUUCAAAUUUCUGCCCUAUCAGCUUUCAACCGUAGGGUAUUGGCCUACGUUGGCGGUAACGGGUAACGGAGGAUUAGGGUUUGAUUCCGGAGAGGGAGCCUUAGAAACGGCUACCACAUCCAAGGAAGGCAGCAGGCGCGCAAAUUACCCAAUGACAAAUCGUCGAGGUAGUGACAAGAAAUAACAACAGAUGGUACACAUCGUACUACCUGAUUGGAAUGGUCUCCGAUUCUUAUCUGGGGAGAGUAACUACGGGAGGGCAAGCCUGGUGCCAGCAGCCGCGGUAAUUCCAGCUCCCGUGGCGUACACUAAAUUUGUUGCGGUUGAAAAGCUCGUAGUCGGAUUUCUGCAAAAGCUUGACGGUGGGCCGCCCUGGGGUGGUGCAAUCAGUUUACAGCUUCUGCAUCCUCUCACAAACUGCUCUGGCCUUCGUUGGUUGGAGUUUCAGGGCGUGAGACUUUUACUUUGAGAAAAACA
rnacentral:rRNA from 1 species